rnacentral:rRNA from 1 species
UACACUCCUGCGGGAGGCAGCAGUGGGGAAUUUUGGACAAUGGGCGAAAGCCUGAUCCAGCAAUGCCGCGUGAGUGAAGAAGGCCUUCGGGUUGUAAAGCUCUUUUGUCAGGGAAGAAACGGUGAAAGCUAAUAUCUUUUGCUAAUGACGGUACCUGAAGAAUAAGCACCGGCUAACUACGUGCCAGCAGCCGCGGUAAUACGUAGGGUGCAAGCGUUAAUCGGAAUUACUGGGCGUAAAGCGUGCGCAGGCGGUUUUGUAAGUCUGAUGUGAAAUCCCCGGGCUCAACCUGGGAAUUGCAUUGGGGACUGCAAGGCUAGAAUCUGGCAGAGGGGGGUAGAAUUCCACGUGUAGCAGGGAAAUGCGUAGAUAUGUGGAGGAACACCGAUGGCGAAGGCAGCCCCCUGGGUCAAGAUUGACGCUCAUGCACGAAAGCGUGGGGAGCAAACAGGAUUAGAUACCCUUGUAGUCCCAUGAU